AGCCUCCUUGGAGGCAGAACCCCUGGAGAUGCCAUCCGCAGGGUAUUGCGGACAGUCUGAGUAAACAGCGUUUGGUCGCAAUAUAGCAUGAAGGGAAGGAAGGGGAAAAAAACGUUUAAAGACCUUGCCAUUUGCAGUGUGAUCAUUCAAGCUUGUCAAAAAGAUGCACCCGAAUGUACCAAUGAAGGUGUUCGAAGACUACAUCGCAAAAACCCUGAAAUACGCUCCUCACUGUGAUUCAAGAACGGAGCAUGAAGAGACUGGACCUGCUAGUUUGGCACCACCACACACUCAUAUUCUCACCGAUUAGGCUUUUUAAAUAAAAAUGAGUUCCCAGUAGAAUCUUAAAUGUUUGAGAAUGCUUGUUACUGUUUUUUUUUUUUUCAGUAUUAUUACUAUACAUUUAUGACUAAUUCUUUAAUAAUUGACUA